UUUAUGGAGAGUUUGAUCCUGGCUCAGGAUGAACGCUGGCGGCGUGCCUAAUACAUGCAAGUCGAGCGAACGGACGAGAAGCUUGCUUCUCUGAUGUUAGCGGCGGACGGGUGAGUAACACGUGGAUAACCUACCUAUAAGACUGGGAUAACUUCGGGAAACCGGAGCUAAUACCGGAUAAUAUUUUGAACCGCAUGGUUCAAAAGUGAAAGACGGUCUUGCUGUCACUUAUAGAUGGAUCCGCGCUGCAUUAGCUAGUUGGUAAGGUAACGGCUUACCAAGGCAACGAUGCAUAGCCGACCUGAGAGGGUGAUCGGCCACACUGGAACUGAGACACGGUCCAGACUCCUACGGGAGGCAGCAGUAGGGAAUCUUCCGCAAUGGGCGAAAGCCUGACGGAGCAACGCCGCGUGAGUGAUGAAGGUCUUCGGAUCGUAAAACUCUGUUAUUAGGGAAGAACAUAUGUAUAAGUAACUGUGCACAUCUUGACGGUACCUAAUCAGAAAGCCACGGCUAACUACGUGCCAGCAGCCGCGGUAAUACGUAGGUGGCAAGCGUUAUCCGGAAUUAUUGGGCGUAAAGCGCGCGUAGGCGGUUUUUUAAGUCUGAUGUGAAAGCCCACGGCUCAACCGUGGAGGGUCAUUGGAAACUGGAAAACUUGAGUGCAGAAGAGGAAAGUGGAAUUCCAUGUGUAGCGGUGAAAUGCGCAGAGAUAUGGAGGAACACCAGUGGCGAAGGCGACUUUCUGGUCUGUAACUGACGCUGAUGUGCGAAAGCGUGGGGAUCAAACAGGAUUAGAUACCCUGGUAGUCCACGCCGUAAACGAUGAGUGCUAAGUGUUAGGGGGUUUCCGCCCCUUAGUGCUGCAGCUAACGCAUUAAGCACUCCGCCUGGGGAGUACGACCGCAAGGUUGAAACUCAAAGGAAUUGACGGGGACCCGCACAAGCGGUGGAGCAUGUGGUUUAAUUCGAAGCAACGCGAAGAACCUUACCAAAUCUUGACAUCCUUUGACAACUCUAGAGAUAGAGCCUUCCCCUUCGGGGGACAAAGUGACAGGUGGUGCAUGGUUGUCGUCAGCUCGUGUCGUGAGAUGUUGGGUUAAGUCCCGCAACGAGCGCAACCCUUAAGCUUAGUUGCCAUCAUUAAGUUGGGCACUCUAAGUUGACUGCCGGUGACAAACCGGAGGAAGGUGGGGAUGACGUCAAAUCAUCAUGCCCCUUAUGAUUUGGGCUACACACGUGCUACAAUGGACAAUACAAAGGGCAGCGAAACCGCGAGGUCAAGCAAAUCCCAUAAAGUUGUUCUCAGUUCGGAUUGUAGUCUGCAACUCGACUACAUGAAGCUGGAAUCGCUAGUAAUCGUAGAUCAGCAUGCUACGGUGAAUACGUUCCCGGGUCUUGUACACACCGCCCGUCACACCACGAGAGUUUGUAACACCCGAAGCCGGUGGAGUAACCUUUUAGGAGCUAGCCGUCGAAGGUGGGACAAAUGAUUGGGGUGAAGUCGUAACAAGGUAGCCGUAUCGGAAGGUGCGGCUGGAUCACCUCCUUU
rnacentral:rRNA from 1 species